rnacentral:rRNA from 1 species
UGGGGAAUUUUGGACAAUGGGCGCAAGCCUGAUCCAGCCAUGCCGCGUGCGGGAAGAAGGCCUUCGGGUUGUAAACCGCUUUUGUCAGGGAAGAAAUCUUCUGAGUUAAUACCUCGGGAGGAUGACGGUACCUGAAGAAUAAGCACCGGCUAACUACGUGCCAGCAGCCGCGGUAAUACGUAGGGUGCAAGCGUUAAUCGGAAUUACUGGGCGUAAAGCGUGCGCAGGCGGUUUUGUAAGACAGAGGUGAAAUCCCCGGGCUCAACCUGGGAACUGCCUUUGUGACUGCAAGGCUUGAGUGCGGCAGAGGGGGAUGGAAUUCCGCGUGUAGCAGUGAAAUUGCGUAGAUAUGCGGAGGAACACCGAUGGCGAAGGCAAUCCCCUGGGCCUGCACUGACGCUCAUGCACGAAAGCGUGGGGAGCAAACAGGAUUAGAUACCCUGGUAGUCCACGCCCUAAACGAUGUCAACUGGUUGUUGGGAAGGUUCCUUCCCAGUAACGUAGCUAACGCGUAAGUUGACCGCCUGGGGAGUACGGCCGCAAGGUUGAAACUC